AUUGAACGCUGGCGGCAGGCCUAACACAUGCAAGUCGAGCGAGCGGCGGACGGGUGAGUAAUGUCUGGGAAACUGCCUGAUGGAGGGGGAUAACUACUGGAAACGGUAGCUAAUACCGCAUACCAUCAGAUGUGCCCAGAUGGGAUUUGCUGGGAGGUGGGGUAACGGCUCACCUAGGCGACGAUCCCUAGCUGGUCGGCGAGGAUGACCAGCCACACUGGAACUGUGACACGUUCCCUACUCCUACGGGAGGCAGCAGUGGGGAAUAUUGGACAAUGGGCGCAAGCCUGAUGCAGCCAUGCCGCGUGUGUGAAGAAGGCCUUCGGGUUGUAAAGUACUUUCAGCGGGGAGGCGUUACCCGCAGAAGAAGCACCGGCUAACUCCGUGCCAGCAGCCGCGGUAAUUC
rnacentral:rRNA from 1 species